rnacentral:sRNA from 1 species
CCUUGCGAGACUUGGCACAACCACUGCAUUACCUUUCCCAACAGACAUAAAGCCCGGCCUUCAACGUAGAAGGCUGCGCUGCCCGAGAGAACGGGACAAGGACAAAGGCGUCCUCGCUAGUUAGCUAGCGGGACGCC